GAUGAACGCUGGCGGCGUGCCUAAUACAUGCAAGUCGAGCGAACAGACGAGGAGCUUGCUCCUCUGACGUUAGCGGCGGACGGGUGAGUAACACGUGGAUAACCUACCUAUAAGACUGGGAUAACUUCGGGAAACCGGAGCUAAUACCGGAUAAUAUAUUGAACCGCAUGGUUCAUUAGUGAAAGACGGUUUUGCUGUCACUUAUAGAUGGAUCCGCGCCGCAUUAGCUAGUUGGUAAGGUAACGGCUUACCAAGGCAACGAUGCGUAGCCGACCUGAGAGGGUGAUCGGCCACACUGGAACUGAGACACGGUCCAGACGCCUACGGGAGGCAGCAGUAGGGAAUAUUCCGCAAUGGGCGAAAGCCUGACGGAGCAACGCCGCGUGAGUGAUGAAGGUCUUCGGAUCGUAAAACUCUGUUAUUAGGGAAGAACAAAUGUGUAAGUAACUAUGCACGUCUUGACGGUACCUAAUCAGAAAGCCACGGCUAACUACGUG
rnacentral:rRNA from 1 species